rnacentral:rRNA from 1 species
CGGCGGACGGGUGAGUAACACGUGGAUGACCUACCUAUAAGACUGGGAUAACUUCGGGAAACCGGAGCUAAUACCGGAUAAUAUAUUGAACCGCAUGGUUCAAUAGUGAAAGACGGUUUUGCUGUCACUUAUAGAUGGAUCCGCGCCGCAUUAGCUAGUUGGUAAGGUAACGGCUUACCAAGGCAACGAUGCGUAGCCGACCUGAGAGGGUGAUCGGCCACACUGGAACUGAGACACGGUCCAG